GUCAAGUACUACAAACUGCACCACAUCAAGAUAAAGGAUGUGAUUUCCGAAGCCAUAGCCAAACUGGAGGCGAUUGUCGCACCCAAGGAGUCAACGGAAGAAGAGGAAGGUGAAGAAGAGGAGGAGGAAGAGAACGUGGAGGACGCCCAGGAACUCCUUGAUGGCAUCAAGGAAAGCAUGGAGCAGAACGCAGGUCGGCUAGAAGACCAAUAUGUAAUUCGAUUUGUGAAAGAAAAGCUCAAAUCUAUGCCUUGUAAGAACCAAGGUUACGUUUUGGAUGGCUUCCCAAAGACCUAUGAUCAAGCGAAAGACCUGUUCAACCGAAUUUGUGUGCAACCUGGACGCCUCUGAUGAGUUUCUGAAGGAGCGCGUGAUGAACCUCCCAGAGAGUGUCGUGGCGGGAACUCACUACAGCCAGGACCGAUUCCUCCGGGCUCUGAGCAACUACCGGGACAUCAACACAGAUGACGAGACGGUCUUCAACUACUUUGAUGAAAUUGAAAUUCACCCCAUACAUAUUGACGUAGGAAAACUUGAAGAUGCCCAGAACAGGCUUGCUAUCAAACAGCUCAUCAAAGAGAUUGGGGAGCCUCGGAAUUAUGGCUUAACAGAUGAAGAAAAGGCAGAGGUGGAGAAGAAAGCUGCAGAGGAACGCCUGGCCAAGGAGGCUGCUCAGACGGCAGAACGUGAGCACAAGGAGGCCCUGGAGAUGGCGGAGAAGAUAGCCCGCUGGGAGGAGUGGAGUAAACGGCUGGAGGAAGUGAAGCGAGAAGAGAGGGAGCUGCUGGAGGCGCAGUCCAUCCCCCUGAGAAACUACCUGAUGACCUACGUGAUGCCUACCCUCAUGCAGGGGCUCAAUGAGUGCUGCAAGGUGAGACCCGAAGACCCCGUGGAUUUUCUGGCCGAGUAUCUCUUCAAGAACAAUCCCGAAAUGCAGUAAAGACUCAUCAGUGUGGGAGCUUCAGAGGGAGAGCUCAAGUUAAACUUGUAAUUUGAAAAACUGCUUUUAAAAAUGCCUUCCUAGGGGUUUUUUGGGGGGAGUUGGGUGGGGGGAGUAGUGAGGGGGAAUCCUAGUGAAGUGGAAUCAUUAGAAAACCACAUUGCAACGAAUAACUACUAUCCCAUUGAAACGAUAUUUGAAAAGUAAACAGAUAAGGCACACCUGCAUAGCUUAGGGACCAGUAAUAUUACUCUUAUGUCAGUCACAACUCUGCACACUAACACGUUUGUAGGAACUUAAGUUAUAACACAGAGUUAUAUGCUCCAACAGUGUCCGAAAUGAAAGAAAUUAGAACCACUCAUGCUUGUUGAAACCCACGACAUCAGCUGUGAUCGGCUCCUGCAAGGUUGCUCUUGAGGAUAGGGCCAGUAUUCUAGCCACUAAGGGA
rnacentral:lncRNA from 1 species